GAUGAACGCUGGCGGCGUGCCUAAUACAUGCAAGUAGAACGCUGAAGGAAGGAGCUUGCUCUUUCCGGAUGAGUUGCGAACGGGUGAGUAACGCGUAGGUAACCUGCCUGGUAGCGGGGGAUAACUAUUGGAAACGAUAGCUAAUACCGCAUAACAGUAGAUGUUGCAUGAUAUCUACUUAAAAGGUGCAAUUGCACCACUACCAGAUGGACCUGCGUUGUAUUAGCUAGUUGGUGAGGUAACGGCUCACCAAGGCGACGAUACAUAGCCGACCUGAGAGGGUGAUCGGCCACACUGGGACUGAGACACGGCCCAGACUCCUACGGGAGGCAGCAGUAGGGAAUCUUCGGCAAUGGACGGAAGUCUGACCGAGCAACGCCGCGUGAGUGAAGAAGGUUUUCGGAUCGUAAAGCUCUGUUGUGAGAGAAGAACGAGUGUGAGAGUGGAAAGUUCACACUGUGACGGUAUCUUACCAGAAAGGGACGGCUAACUACGUG
rnacentral:rRNA from 1 species